GUACACUCCUACGGGAGGCAGCAGUGGGGAAUAUUGCACAAUGGGCGCAAGCCUGAUGCAGCCAUGCCGCGUGUAUGAAGAAGGCCUUCGGGUUGUAAAGUACUUUCAGCGGGGAGGAAGGCGAUAAGGUUAAUAACCUUGUUGAUUGACGUUACCCGCAGAAGAAGCACCGGCUAACUCCGUGCCAGCAGCCGCGGUAAUACGGAGGGUGCAAGCGUUAAUCGGAAUUACUGGGCGUAAAGCGCACGCAGGCGGUCUGUCAAGUCGGAUGUGAAAUCCCCGGGCUCAACCUGGGAACUGCAUUCGAAACUGGCAGGCUAGAGUCUUGUAGAGGGGGGUAGAAUUCCAGGUGUAGCGGUGAAAUGCGUAGAGAUCUGGAGGAAUACCGGUGGCGAAGGCGGCCCCCUGGACAAAGACUGACGCUCAGGUGCGAAAGCGUGGGGAGCAAACAGGAUUAGAAACCCCAGUAGUCCCAUG
rnacentral:rRNA from 1 species